UACGUAGGGUGCGAGCGUUGUCCGGAAUUAUUGGGCGUAAAGAGCUUGUAGGCGGUUUGUCGCGUCUGCUGUGAAAAUCCGGGGCUCAACCCCGGACUUGCAGUGGGUACGGGCAGACUAGAGUGUGGUAGGGGAGACUGGAAUUCCUGGUGUAGCGGUGGAAUGCGCAGAUAUCAGGAGGAACACCGGUGGCGAAGGCGGGUCUCUGGGCCGAAACUGACGCUGAGGAGCGAAAGCGUGGGGAGCAAACAGG
rnacentral:rRNA from 1 species